rnacentral:lncRNA from 1 species
CCACGCCCCAGCCGUAGCUACCCAAGCUUCGCCGCAGGCGCCUAGGGUGGCUCAGGUGUCGGCGCGGCUGCUGGUCUGGCAGCUGGAGGAUCGGGGGCCCCGCCCCCCCCAGACUCCAGUCCCAGCGGCCCCCUUCAGGACAGAGUGGGCGUCUCUCCACGGCAGCCUCUGUAGGGACCCCGAGGUCGCAAUCGUGGAAGUCUCAGACCCAAAGCAUCCCCACAGAGUAUGGUGACAUCUACAGCCAUAAACGCACGGUCCUGGUACCUGGCCACCUUGGUGUUGAGUUCCAGCACAAGGCACGCAGCCUUUACAGGCAUGGCUACAUACAGCCCAAUAUCAGGAAAGGAAAUGUCCUUUUAAAGCCCCUCCCGCUGGACAUGGUGGCGCUCGCCUGUGAUCCCAGCCCUGGGAACCUGAGGCAGGAGGAUUGCUGCAAGUUCAAGGCUCACCUGGACUACAUAGUGAGACCUUGUCUCAAAAAACAAUAAAUAUGGCCGGGGAUGUAGCUCAGCUGCACAGUGCCUGCCUGGCAAGCUCGAGGUCCUGAGUGAGAUCCCUGGUGUGUGGGGGGGCUUAUCUUUCCUAGGUUUCUUAUAAUAUAAAACUCCUGAGGAAACACUGACCAUCUAAAAAUUACAAGUAAGUAACUUCCAAGUAAAGUGCCAGUAAGCAUCAUGACACCCCAAUUCACUGAACCCCAGGAGCAACUUAUUUUUUUGGUACUGGGGAUCGAACUCAGGACCUUGGACUUUGAAGCAGGCGCAGUGCCGCUGAGCUACAUCCCGGCCCUUCCAGGAGUGACUUGUGUGCAUAAAAAGGUAUCCAGAGUCGCCCUCGGGACCCUGCAUGCCAUCUGUUUGCUUUACAAUAAAUUCUGCC